rnacentral:rRNA from 1 species
UACAGAGGGUGCGAGCGUUGUUCGGAAUUAUUGGGCGUAAAGGGCGCGUAGGCGGUUCGGUAAGUCAGGUGUGAAAUCUCCACGCUCAACGUGGAGGCGCCACCUGAAACUGCCGUGACUCGAGUCCGGUAGGGGAGUGUGGAAUUCCCGGUGUAGCGGUGAAAUGCGCAGAUAUCGGGAGGAACACCCGUAGCGAAGGCGGCACUCUGGGCCGGUACUGACGCUGAGGAGCGAAAGCGUGGGGAGCAAACAGG